rnacentral:rRNA from 1 species
AUACGGAGGGUGCAAGCGUUAAUCGGAAUUACUGGGCGUAAAGCGCGCGUAGGCGGCUGAUUAAGUCGGAUGUGAAAUCCCUGGGCUCAACCUAGGAACUGCAUCCGAUACUGGUCAGCUAGAGUUUUGGAGAGGUAAGUGGAAUUUCCGGUGUAGCGGUGAAAUGCAUAGAGAUCGGAAGGAACACCAGUGGCGAAGGCGACUUACUGGCCAAAAACUGACGCUGAGGUGCGAAAGCGUGGGUAGCGAACAGGAUUAGAUACCCUUGUAGUCC